ACAAAGCGCAGCAAAGCAAAUGGGUUGAGCUGGUUUUCUUCUGAACAAUUGUUUCUGGUGCUUCUAAAAGUCUUGACGAAGCACUUGGUCGGCACAGGAGCUUGCUUAGUGGACCACGCAGGCUUGGUGAAGGAGUCGCGCGCACCAGAAGUUGUAGUUGCUUUCUUUCUUGCUUCACCCAAGGCUGCCAACGCCUUGUUUUCUGCUUUUCUGCACAGAAGACUUUACUUUCUUCCUUUAGCUCCCCUCUCUCCUUCCUUUUUGGGUUCUGGGGUCCAACCCAGCACCUCGUGCGUCCAAACCAAGCAUUUUACCACUGAACUGCGGUUCCAGGGCUCAUUCCUCUGUGGUUCUGUCCCUUUGCAUUGUGAAGACUCCUGCUUUUCUGGGUCACUUUCAACCUUUCCAGCAGCGAGUUUGUUGCAGUUUAAUAACCCCUGGGGGCUUCUUUCUCAACCUAGGUGGACCCUACCUUGCUCCUUUGAUUUUGGCCGGCCCAGCACCUGGUGGCCUGCGGGCAGGAGCCCUGUGAGGAUGCUGGUGGAGCAGGGCUGCUGCUGUGACCCCUGGACUACAGGCCCUGGUGAAGGUCACCUCAGGCUCUGCACCAUACCCUGCUGGCCAGAGGUCUUAGUGUGAGUCCCAGAAGCCAUGUCCAGCUGAUCCAAACAGAGGCGUUUAUACAGAAGGGUAAGGGGAGCCUACAGAGUAUGGGAGGGAGGGGUUGAUUAAAUACACGGCUAGACUUCCAGAAACAAAGCUUCAAUCAUUUCCACAGCCUCAGUGAGAGUGCUACUGCCAAGCCCCAGGAGGCCCUGGGUUUUGUUUUCCUGCACUGAGGCACAGCUUGGAACCAGCCUGGCCCUGAAGUCAGCCUCACAGAGCGGCCAAUACCCAGCCUGCUUGCCACAGGGUGAAAUCUCAUUCUGGCCCUCUCCUGCCCUUUGCCCAGUAGGAGACUUCCUGGGGACCCGUGCCCCUCCCCAGGAUGAAGAGGCAGGUGUGCCCUCUGGGGCCCUGGCUGAGAGAGCGUUUCCUUCAGGUAAGCAGUACACCAGAGCCCUGGGGACCACGUGUCCCACGCCACGUGACUGACAGAGGAGCUGCUCUGCGAGUCUUUCCUGGAAUACGGGAUCAAUCGCUGGAACAGGAGCAUGGCUGCUGCCAUGGAAACCCGUCUGCUGGCUACCUGUGUUUAGGAACUGCUCUGCUCUGGUGUCGUCCUUGUGGUUUGGCUGGCCUGGCCCCAGGCCAUCACCGGAGGAGCUGUGCUAGUGCUGCUCUUGCUGAUGUCCCCUGACUUUGCACCAGGGAGAACACGUGGUCAGGGCCUUUCUCAGGUGACUGAAGCUGCUGAGUGGAAAAUUCGGAAGCUGUUGGUGACCACACUGUCCCUUCUAUGAAGAGAGAGAGAGAGAGAGAGAGAGAGAGAGAGAGAGAGAGAAGGGGGG
rnacentral:lncRNA from 1 species